rnacentral:rRNA from 1 species
CACUAUAUGACGGAGCGGCGAACGGGUGAGUAACACGUGAGCAACCUACCCCAAAGACCGGGAUAGCCCGAGGAAACUCGGAUUAAUACCGGAUAUCCUGAUCGGAUCGCAUGUUCUGAUCAGGAAAUGCCUUUGUGCUUUGGGAUGGGCUCGCGGCCUAUCAGCUAGUUGGUGAGGUAAUGGCUCACCAAGGCGACGACGGGUAGCUGGUCUGAGAGGACGAUCAGCCACACUGGAACUGAGACACGGUCCAGACUCC